rnacentral:piRNA from 1 species
UGCCAAAUGUUUGAGAAAUGCUGCUUGGAGC